GCCAGGUGUGGAGGCACAUACCUGUAGUCCCAACCAAUGGGAGGCUGAGGCAGGAAGAUCACUUGAGCCCAGGAGAUCUGGGCUGCAGUGAGCUGUGAUGGCAACAUUGUACUCCAGCCUGGGAGAUAGAGUGAGACCCUGUCUCAA
rnacentral:SRP_RNA from 1 species